rnacentral:rRNA from 1 species
CGCAGCCAGCUGCGAGAUUUGGUGUGAAUUGCAGGACACAUUGAGCACUGAUUUUUCGAACGCACAUUGCGGCCUCGGGUUCUGCCCGGGGCCUCGCCUGUCUGAGGGUCGGAUAAGACUUGCAAAGGAAAUUCUCAAUUUCCAAUUGGCCGCGUCGGAGUCCUGAUAUGGACUUCGUCGGCUCAAGUGAAUGCAGGAUCCUCCCCGGUCGAAGAGAGCACAAGCCCUAGUGCAUGCUCGUCGCUCGGAGAAGACGAGAAUCGUUUCUCCACGAAGACGAGACGGCUUGAGAUGCUGAGAAGACCGAAUGGGUUUGGCGUCCUAUACGACGUGCGGAAGUCGCGUCUAGUAAAAGUAACUCUUUUGACGACCUCAGAUCAGACGAGAUGACCCGCUGAAUUUAAGCAUAUC